GGAAAAGAAAACAUGAGUUAGUUUGUGGUGAAAUAUACUCCCCCCCCCCCUUAAAUUGGUGUCAACUGCGUGUGACUUCGUGAACUUGUUCAGAAAUUUUCCAGGAAGAAAAACUGUUGAAGCAAUUACAUGGUUUGCCAGUACAUACAAAAAUAUCAAAAUUAAUCAACUCCUGAUUCCAGGCACAGGUGGAGGAAGAAUCUGCAGCUGAGGACCCAGCAGGCUGGUGGAAAAGACUGCGGCAUUUGGAACAGACAGACAGACCAGACGUUGGCAAGGGCAGCUUGACAAAGGUGCUGGAAUUCCAGGAAGCUCAGGGAAGAGUUAUUUUUCCUUCUUUCCGUUCUUGCUAGGCUAAAAGCAAGCUUGAGAAGUGAAAGUACUGCAGCUGUCUAACAGAAUCAGCAUAUCAAAGUUGUGAUAAAGAACACCUGUGUGAAUCAGGAAGGAGGGAGAUAGUUAAGAAACUGUAAAAAGAAAUGCCUCAUAGUUUGUUAAGUUAAGGGCAUUGUAUAUAUUAGAAAUAAACAUAUAAUUAAAAGCACUGUAACAAAUAAACAUCUGUAUAAUUUAGAGGAGGAUAGAGUGUAUGUGUCCAGAACGUUACUCUCUGUUUUUCUACCCUCCAACAAAACAAACACAUUUUUUCUUUACCUUAGUUGCAGUAUCAAUUGUCCAAGAGGGAACUGGUAAACCAGUGAUAAUAUUGGAAAAAAGAAUAACAGUUACGAUCCAAACACUGUUGCAAUAAAUCGAACUGUUAUUUGUCAAGGCAGCUGUCUAUGUCACAAAUAUAAUGUGGCACACUGAUUUACUUAAGAAAAACUUUAAAAAUGGUAGUAGAGCAAAAAUCCAAAAUCCUAUUGUCAAAAGAUCAGAAUGAUACAAGUGAGGAGGAAAUACAGUAACUCACUGCCCUUCCUGUUUCUUUUUUUCAAGUUUUUUUUCCAGUUAAGAGCAAUUGAAUGGGAUUCUUUAAACCAGCUUCAACCCUGGGAGCAGGACUGAAGGUUGAGACAGCUUUAAAUCUAUAGAGUCAGAGUCCUUCCAGGGUCCAAGUAUGUCACCUCCCUGUUCCAUUCUAGAGUUCUAAUAUCAGAAGGAAUAGCCACAUAACUUUCUUCAGGGAGGAGGAAGGGGAGAAGAUCUACUGUCUCCAACUUGAGUGAAAUCUGUGAUUUAUCCUAUGCCUCCUAACAUGCCCUGCUAAGACUGUAGUAAUAGGCAGAAGAAACAGCACACUAACAACAUAAUCCACCAUGGGAUGGUCUGUUUUUGAAAAACCCUCCUCAGAGCUGAAUUAUAGGCAUGGUCCAACCAAAGAUAAAGUCAAUUAUAUCCCUUGAAGAACAAGUUUAACUUCUCCAUUAAAGCCAGUGGAUUUUAAAAGUGUUUAACUUUGGCUGCAUUAUGCAUUGUAUGUUUUUCAUCUAAAGUCAAACACUGAGGAGGCAACCCUUUUUUCCCUCACCUUUUCUACAGUGUGUACCCUCAUCCACACUGAAACAAGUGCACAUAUGAGAAUGAUUUUAUGCAUGUGAACUUAAAAGUGAACAUUCUGUAGAGAACAACACAAUUCUAACAUUUGGAACUGUUUUAAGGCAAUACUCUAGAUUUCUCAGUAGGUUUGAUCCUGGAUAAAGUACAUAAUGAUUGUGAUUUUUUUUUCUCUCACUAACUUCCCUGACCUUAAUAUGUUGGUUUUAACUUCAGGCUGUUUGAUGAAAGGAUUCUAUUUAAUAAUUCAUCUCCUAUUUUUAUCCAUUAUGAUUCUUUUCCUGCUGCCCUCGGAAAUGUUACAAUUUUCAUAUUACAACUGUCUGGCUGAUCUGGCUCUUUCCUCCUGUCUUUCCUCCCCACCCUUUUCUGCCACACAUUUCAUUCAAUAGUGCUGAACUUCUUACCAUACAAAUGGCAUCCAGAAACUUGCCAUAUAUGGUCAGCUUAAUGACUUCAGCAGUUAAUUUCACGUCUGGAAUCUGAACCACGGUGUAAAUGCUAAAGAGUCAAGUAGAGUUUUCAAACACACUGUCCAACUUUCUUUUUCUAUUUUUAAUGUAUGCUCUCCACUUAAUGGCUUUUGUUUGCUCAGACUCUACAGAGAACCUAUAUAUAGCUCCUGACAAAGCAUAAAGGAGCAUUGUAUUAAUAUAAUGCAAAAGAGAGAUUCCUCAUUAUUUAAGCAAUUCUAAUUAGCAAGAAAAUGCUAAUUUGAGCCUUGAGCCUUAACUACAUCUAGCUAAGGACUUUACUUCUGCUGCUGCACUUUAUCUGCAAAAUUUAGAAUUCAUUAGUCUGGCAGCCACUGAUCUUCUGAGGAAAUCAUACCGAUUUUGAACCUUCCUGUUUCCUUUUCAUUAUUCCUAAUGU